UAAAAUCUUUCAUUUUUCUAGGAGACGGGUGGGUGCUAACUUCCUACAAUACCUACAGAUGGCACAAAAAAAUGAAGAAAGCAUAAAUGGAGCUUCUAACAAUAGAAGAGACCCCGUUUCAGAGACCAAAAGUCACGUUGGAGUGAGCGAAUGAAUCAUUUUGCAGAUAAAAAAAACAGUGCCGUUGCAACUUCGAACGGUCGCUAAACGAGGACGGUAUUGGAAGUCGAGGACUUGCCUGUACGUUAAACCUAGUUGAGAGUGCUGGAAAUGGAAGAUCAGCCUUUUUAAUAAGAGCAACUGAAGUUGUGGCUGCCCCCUAAAACCUCCAAAGGGCCUUCAAAGUCAUUGAAAUCUGAAUAAUAUUGACAAUAAACUUUCACAAAAGCGAA